rnacentral:lncRNA from 1 species
CAACAAUGUGUACUGGUGGUCACGUGGAGGUACUUGAGGCGCUUUGUUUUUCUGUGAGGGUCUGGCUAACGUGUAAUGCUUUGACACAAGGUUCUGAAGCAACAGCUGUUGAUCUGGGAAGCAGAUAGCAGUGUUGCAUAACUCAGUCUCCAGGCUUAACCUUCCCUUUGGCAUAAUGAAUUUGGCAGCCCUGAGACUUUUAAAAUAAAAGUCUUUACAUCCUACUAGCCAGCUUUGACUAGCAGUGUGAUCCAGGGCCAAUGACUGCCCCUCUAUGGCCUUGGC